rnacentral:rRNA from 1 species
AUGAACGCUGGCGGCGUGCCUAAUACAUGCAAGUCGAGCGAACAGAUGAGGAGCUUGCUCCUCUGACGUUAGCGGCGGACGGGUGAGUAACACGUGGAUAACCUACCUAUAAGAUUGGGAUAACUUCGGGAAACCGGAGCUAAUACCGGAUAAUAUAUUGAACCGCAUGGUUCAAUAGUGAAAGACGGUUUUGCUGUCACUUAUAGAUGGAUCCGCGCCGCAUUAGCUAGUUGGUAAGGAAACGGCUUACCAAGGCAACGAUGCGUAGCCGACCUGAGAGGGUGAUCGGCCACACUGGAACUGAGACACGGUCCAGACUCCUACGGGAGGCAGCAGUAGGGAAUCUUCCGCAAUGGGCGAAAGCCUGACGGAGCAACGCCGCGUGAGUGAUGAAGGUCUUCGGAUCGUAAAACUCUGUUAUUAGGGAAGAACAAAUGUGUAAGUAACUAUGCACGUCUUGACGGUACCUAAUCAGAAAGCCACGGCUAACUACGUG